ACUAUCAUUAGUAUAUGUAAUUUUAUUUUAGAUUUAUUAAAAUGAUUUAGUAUCAUCAAUAAAAUGGUAGCUAUUAAACCGCUUAUUGACAUAGUUAAUGUGAAUCAAAAAGAUCAUUCAUUAUAACUAUAAUCUUUAAUAUAUGCGAAAAAUUGUAUCAAUCCCGCUUGUCUAGGAUAAAGUAAUAUACCAAUUAAAAUAGAGAAAGAAAAAAUAAAUAUUCAGCUUGAUAAUUUAGUUUUUUUAAUCUCUUGUGAAAUAGUUUUUUUAGAAAAUUCAAUUGAAUUUAUAUUAAGUUUUAAACUCCAAUACAAUAUACCAGAUAUUAAAUAAGUAAUAAUAUUAAAAACUAUCAAUCAAUAAAAUUGUAAAUAAUUAUAUAAAUAAAAUGACAUUAAAGGUGAAAGAACUAAACCUAUUGAUGUAGCAAGAGAAUUGCCAAUAUUAAAGGACUUUAAGGUUUUUUCAUCUGUAGCUAAAUAAUAUAACACAUUUUUUAAAUGAAUAAAGCGAUAAGAAUGUAUAGUACCCAAUAUAGUUGAUAAAACAAUUAAUAUAAUGGAAAAGAUGUUAGAAGUUAAAAAUCAAAUAGAAAUAAUAAAUACUAUCAAGAGAAAAAAAGCACUUAAAAUAUCAGUUAAUAGUAAUGCGGUUUUAUCUUUAAGAAUUUUUACUAAUUUAUUUGAAAAAAUAUAAAUAAUUAUUGAUGGCAAUUGAAUUAAUAAAUAUAAUAAAGUAACCAAUCAAAAAUCACCAGAUAUUUUAUAUAUAUAAAUUGCUGAAGAAAUUUUAAAUGCUUCAGAACCGAUUAAUGAUAUUCCUACUGAUGAAACAUAUUUAAAAAGAUUAAAAUUAAAGGAUUUCUUCAUUUAUAAGCUCCAUAAAAAUUAACAUAUAAUAUAUGUUUUUACUUAAAACAUUAGAUUCAUAACUAUGAAUUUUAUCAGCAGGUAAAGCUAUUGUAAUUGAGUUAUCAUAUUGCAGUUCUGUAAUAUCAGUUGAUCCAGAUCCAAAAUAUAAAUGAUAUGGAAGUGAAUAUUUAUUACAUAAUUUCUUUAGUUUUUCUAGUAAUGAUAAAUUAACGGCUGUAAAAGUAUCAGAAACUCUUAUUAAUAUACCUUCAAUAUCCCACUGAUCACUUUCUGAAGACUCAAUAUUAAUAAUUGAUUUAAUUUUUUUCUUUUGUAUUCAAUUUUUAUUUUCUUUAGAAGAUUGUAAUAAUAUUUCUUCUCUUGUUGUAAAUAUAUAAUUAAUUGAUGAAAAACUAUUUAAACUUAAAAUACAAGCAACCGACAUUCUAUUGUCAGAAUUUCUACUUUUAAUAAAUACUUUAUCAACAAUAGUUUUUGUAGAAGGAAAUAUUUGAUAUAUAUCAUUUUUAUCUAAUGAAUUAGAUUUUUUAUCAGAAAAAAAUAAAGUAGGUCUAUUUAUUUUUCUAUUUUUUUCGGCUGAAAAAAUGUUGUUAUCUUUUUUGUUGCAAUUUAUAUCGAAAAUAAAAUUAGAUUUUUUAUCAUAUACAUUAUAAAUUCCAUCUAUUCAAUUCAUAGUACCUAAGUUAUAAAUAUUACCAUUUACAAUUAUUCCUCCAACUUCAUCUAAAUGAGAAAUAAAAACUGCUUUUUUAUUAUUUAAAAUAUUAAAAAAAAUACUGUUUUUUUUAUCUUUUCUAACAUCAAUAUCAUUUGUUAAAAAAUUAAUUUCAAAUCCAGCCAAAGUAGGUUUUUCAUAAGAAC
rnacentral:antisense_RNA from 1 species